rnacentral:rRNA from 1 species
UACGUAGGCGGUUAAAUAAGUCAGGUGUAAAAGGCAUUGGCUCAACCAAUGUAAGCACUUGAAACUGUUUGACUUGAGUAUAGGAGAGGUAAGUGGAGUUCCUAGUGUAGCGGUGAAAUGCGUAGAUAUUAGGAGGAACACCAGUGGCGAAGGCGACUUACUGGACUAUUACUGACGCUGAGGUACGAAAGCGUGGGGAGCAAACA